rnacentral:rRNA from 1 species
UACGUAGGUGACAAGCGUUGUCCGGAUUUACUGGGCGUAAAGAGCGCGCAGGCGGUCGAUCAAGUCGAGUGUGCAAGCCCCCGGCUCAACUGGGGAGGGUCAUUCGAAACUGAUCGACUUGAAGGCAGGAGAGGGAAGUGGAAUUCCCGGUGGAGUGGUGAAAUGCGUAGAGAGCGGGAGGAACACCAGUGGCGAAGGCGACUACCUGGCCUGUUCUUGACGCUGAGGCGCGAAAGCUAGGGGAGCAAACGGG